rnacentral:rRNA from 1 species
UACGUAGGGUGCGAGCGUUGUCCGGAAUUACUGGGCGUAAAGAGCUCGUAGGUGGUUUGUCGCGUUGUUCGUGAAAACUCACAGCUUAACUGUGGGCGUGCGGGCGAUACGGGCAGACUAGAGUACUGCAGGGGAGACUGGAAUUCCUGGUGUAGCGGUGGAAUGCGCAGAUAUCAGGAGGAACACCGGUGGCGAAGGCGGGUCUCUGGGCAGUAACUGACGCUGAGGAGCGAAAGUGUGGGGAGCGAACAGG